UCAAUGAUUGGCUCUACUUGACGUCAAUCAGGCAGACUCUGAUCAGUGAUUGGCUCUACUUGACGUCAAUCAGGGUGAUUCUGAUCAGUGAUUGGCUGUUGAGCCCUCGGCCAAGUUCUCAACUCACAAUGAAGAAACAAUGGCGGCGAUCGUCACUACUCCGCAUGAGGGCAGAGUCACCUCUAUCAACUCAAUUUAACUAAACUGCAUAGACUCUUCGAAAGAGGAUGGAACACUGGACGACUGGCAAAUGAUGACCACAUAAACCCCAACUGCAGAGUAAAAGAAAAUACUGUCAGAGGAAGGCCACACUUGUGCCUGUUUGCUGUGAAAGAGAUAUUUCCAGACGAGGAGAUAACGUACAACUAUGGGGAUUAUUGUUGGCCAUGGCCCUCAAUGGCACCCUGCAAAGAACUGUCCAAUCCUGAGCCCAAGCAAGUGGUUCCAGCCUUGGGAGAAAAAGAAAUGAUGAAUUGGAACCGGAAACGAUUGGAGAGGAAGAUCCAGACGACAAUGACGAUGAUGGAGAUGGUGAAAAGUCUCAUCCUGUCCUUGGAUUAAGAGGAAAGACAAUUCACCUGGAAACCAGAGGUGAGGUCACCAGCUCCAAAGGUAGGACUCAUCCCUUACUACUUGUCCCUCAGGGUCGCAGUUACAAAAGUGCAGUAUCGGCCCUGCCGCACAACAUUUAAUCAGAUUUAAUUUAUUUUAUUAUUGUUUGAGGGUUUGCAAAAAAAAAAUACCAAGUAACUGUUGAAUGUAGCACUACAGCGAUACGGUUUCUACUUAAGCGGACACCAAAAAAAACUCUUCGUAAAUGCAUUUACUGUAGUGUUUAGGAAAAUUUGAAAUAGAAGAAUGAAAAAGCCACAUUGUUCACCACAAUUUUUGCCUCUUAAUGAUAAGUUAGAGCCAGUGUGGUAAAAUCUAAUGUUUUGGUUGGGCUGAAUCUUUCCACAUGUCUUGCCAUUUUUAUGAACAGCUCCGGCUUCACACAAAAAUCGCAACAUACAGCUUUGUCCAACUAAUGUAUUUCCAAAACGCAUUUUCUGUGCUGUUUUUUCAAAAUGCCGAUAUACAUGAAAAUCGUACCUAUGUAUAAUUGUCUUUAUAAUAAUAUGAACGAGGAAAAUGUGUUAUAUGUAGAUGAAGAUAUGUAAAUAAGUCAUAGAGAAAAAUGGAAGUGUCUGCGGUGAUGAAACACUCCAAGGCCCACAUUUUGAAGGGACACUUGGCCAAAAAAUGGAGUGAGAGCAGUGCUAGAGACUUUGUAAGGAACAGGGGACGCAUGUCCACAAAGGGAAAUUUAGUUUGAGAGAAUAUGUCCAAGAAACCUCUUUAAAGCACCUGUUACAGUACAACUUUUGAGAAAAAUGUACAGUUCCCUUUUCAGUAAAAUGUACUGCAAUUGUGACUGCGUCUUUUGAAGCAGUAUAGUUUACUGCACUUGUUACUGUGUCUUUUGACGCAAUACUUAAGCAGAUAUAUAUAUAUAUAUUGCCAAUAUUUAAUGUUUGAUAAUGGUAUACAUUACAAUAAAUGUAUUUUCACAUAAAAGCCGUCUAAUUUUGUGGUGGGGAGGGGCCCUGAUAAACACACGUAUUUGUAUAUAGCCAUCCAUCCCCAGGAUGGUCCUCAUAACCAAGGGUCUGGUCAUGUUGAUGUAUGUGUACUGGUAAUGUCCUGUUAAACCAGGAUGGUCCUCAUAACCAAGGGUCUGGUCGGUGUAUGUGUACUGGUAAUGUCCUGUUAAACCAGGAUGGUCCUCAUAACGAAAGGUCUGGUCAUGUCGGUGUAUGUGUACUGGUAAUGUCCUGUUAAACCAGGAUGGUCUUCAUAACCAAGGGUCUGGUCAUGUCGGUGUAUGUGUACUGGUAACGUCCUGUUAAACCACGAUGGUCCUCAUAACCAAGGGUCUGGUCAUGUCGGUGUAUGUGUACUGGUAACGUCCUGUUAAACCACGAUGGUCCUCAUAACCAAGGGUCUGGUCAUGUUGGUGUAUGUGUACUGGUAACGUCCUGUUAAACCACGAUGGUCCUCAUAACCAAGGGUCUGGUCACGUUUGUGUAUGUGUACCGGUAAUGUCCUCAUAAAUAAGGGUGGUCUUUAUAAGUCGCCAUCAUGAUAGAAUCCGCCCCCAUCCCGCCCCGUCCCCACAGUCCUGUAGAAUGUCAAGUCUUAAGAUCUCCUGACUCUUUCACCAGAAAUUAAUUCUGAACAGUAGGCUUUGUUUCCUACAUCAUGAGGACCAUUUUGAUAGUUCUUAGCACUCUCUGGGACAAAGGGAAAGGUGUGUCCCCAUAAACCAUGGUUUGAGCAAGUACGGGGAAAAUGUCCUGACAAACCACCUUUGCCCGUAUGUGUGUGUGUGUGUGUGUGUGUGUGUGUGUGUGUGUGUG